rnacentral:rRNA from 1 species
AACGAACGCUGGCGGCAUGCCUAACACAUGCAAGUCGAACGAGACCUUCGGGUCUAGUGUCGCACGGGUGCGUAACGCGUGGGAACCUGCCCUUAGGUUCGGAAUAACUCCCCGAAAGGGGUGCUAAUACCGGAUAAUGUCUUCGGACCAAAGAUUUAUCGCCCUUGGUUGGGCCCGCGUUGGAUUAGAUCGUUGGUAGGGUAAACGCCUACCACGGCGACGAUUCAUAGCUGGUUUGAGAGGAUGCCCAGCCACACUGGCGCUGAGACACGGCCCGGACUCCUACACAAGGCAGCAGUGGGGGAUAUUGCACGCUGGGCGAAAGCCUGAUCCAGCUGUGCCGCGUGAGUGAUGAUGUCCUUAGGGUUGUAAUGCUCUUUUACCCGGGAUGAUAAUGACAGUACCGGAAGAAUAAGCUCCGGCUAACUCCGUG